rnacentral:rRNA from 1 species
UACAGAGGGUGCAAGCGUUAAUCGGAAUUACUGGGCGUAAAGCGCAUGUAGGUGGUUGAAGAAGUUUGAUGUGAAAGCCCCGGGCUUAACCUGGGAAUGGCGGUUGAAACUAGUCGACUAGAAUCUGGCAGAGGGGGGUGGAAUUCCACGUGUAGCAGUGAAAUGCGUAGAGAUGUGGAGGAACACCGAUGGCGAAGGCAGCCCCCUGGGCUGAGAUUGACGCUCAGGCACGAAAGCGUGGGGAGCAAACAGG